rnacentral:rRNA from 1 species
UACAGGGGGUGCAAACGUUGCUCGGAAUUAUUGGGCGUAAAGCGCGCGUAGGCGGUGACUCAAGUCGGAUGUGAAAGCCCUUGGCUUAACCGAGGAAGUGCAUCCGAGACUGAGUCGCUAGAGUACGAUAGAGGGUCGCGGAAUUCCCGGUGUAGAGGUGAAAUUCGUAGAUAUCGGGAGGAACACCGGUGGCGAAGGCGGCGACCUGGGUCGAUACUGACGCUGAGGCGCGAAAGCGUGGGGAGCAAACAGG